rnacentral:rRNA from 1 species
UACGUAGGGUGCGAGCGUUGUCCGGAAUUAUUGGGCGUAAAGGGCUCGUAGGCGGUUUGUCGCGUCGGGAGUGAAAUCCACUGGCUUAACUGGUGGCUUGCUUUCGAUACGGGCAGACUGGAGGUAUGCAGGGGAGAACGGAAUUCCUGGUGUAGCGGUGAAAUGCGCAGAUAUCAGGAGGAACACCGGUGGCGAAGGCGGUUCUCUGGGCAUGUCCUGACGCUGAGGAGCGAAAGUGUGGGGAGCGAACAGGA